rnacentral:rRNA from 1 species
UACGAAGGGGGCUAGCGUUGUUCGGAAUUACUGGGCGUAAAGCGCGCGCAGGCGGUUUUCCAAGUCAGUGGUGAAAGCCCGGAGCUCAACUCCGGAACUGCCAUUGAAACUGUUAAACUUGAGUACGAAAGAGGGUCGCGGAAUUCCCGGUGUAGAGGUGAAAUUCGUAGAUAUCGGGAGGAGCACCGGUGGCGAAGGCGGCUUCCUGGACACUAACUGACGCUGAGACGCGAAAGCGUGGGGAGCAAACAGG